UACAGAGGGGGCAAGCGUUGUUCGGAAUUACUGGGCGUAAAGCGUGCGCAGGCGGUGAUGUAAGACCGAUGUGAAAUCCCCGGGCUUAACCUGGGAACUGCAUUGGUGACUGCAUUGCUCGAGUAUGGCAGAGGGGGGUGGAAUUCCACGUGUAGCAGUGAAAUGCGUAGAGAUGUGGAGGAACACCGAUGGCGAAGGCAGCCCCCUGGGCCAAUACUGACGCUCAUGCACGAAAGCGUGGGGAGCAAACAGG
rnacentral:rRNA from 1 species